AUGGUAGAAGCCAUCCUGUCCGCAACAGCCUGCUUCUCGGGGUAUAACAGCAUCUUCUGCCUUGAUGUUAACCACAGCCAUUACCACUGGCAAUAUGAAAGAGGGAGAAACUCUUGGGUUUUCCCUGCCCAAGAAACAAAUGCUGCUGUGUGCCUUCAAGGCUACAGCCACCAUCCCCCCUCUUGGAAAUUCCAGGAGGGUGAGCGAGUGCUGUGCUUUCAUGGGCCUCUUCUUUAUGAAGCAAAGUGUGUAAAGGUUGCCAUAAAGGACAGGCAAGUGAAAUACUUUUUACAUUACAGUGGUUGGAAUAAAAAUUGGGAUAAGUGGGUUCCAGAGAGCAGAGUACUCAAAUACGUGGACACCAAUUUGCAGAAACAGUGAGAACUUCAAAAAGCCAGUCAGGAGCAGUAUGCAGAGGGGAAUAUGAGAGGGGCUGCCCCAGGAAAGAAGACAUCUGGUCUGCAACAGAAAAAUGUUGAAGUGAAAACAAAAAAGAACAAACAGAAAACACCUGGAAAUGGAGAUGGUGGCAGUACCAGUGAGACCCCUCAGCCUCCUCGGAAGGAAAGGACCCAGGUAGAUCCUACUGUUGAAAAUGAGAAAACAUUCAUGAACAGAGUUGAAGUUAAAGUAAAGAUUCCUGAAGAGCUAAAACUAUGGCUUGUUGAUGACUGGGACUUAAUUACCAGGCAAAAACACCUCUUUUAUCUUCCUGCCAAGAAGAAUGUGGAUUCCAUUCUUGAGGAUUAUGCAAAUUACAAGAAAUCUCGUGGAAACACAGAUAAUAAGGAGUAUGCAGUUAAUGAAGUUGUGGCAGGGAUAAAAGAAUACUUCAACGUAAUGUUGGGCACCCAGCUACUCUACAAAUUUGAGACACCACAGUAUGCCGAAAUUCUUGCAGAUCAUCCCGAUGCACCCAUGUCCCAGGUGUAUGAAGCACCACAUCUCCUCAGAUUAUUUGUACGAAUUAGAGCAAUGUUGGCCUAUACACCUCUGGAUGAGAAGAGCCUUGCUUUAUUACUCAAUUAUCUUCACGAUUUCCUAAAGUACCUGGCAAAGAAUUCUGCAACUUGGCUUAGUGCCAGCGAUUAUGAAGUGGCUCCUCCUGAGUACCAUCGGAAAGCUGUGUGAGAGGCACUCUCACUCACUCAUGUUUGGAUCUCCGUAAACACAUUUUUGUUCUUAGUCUAUCUCUGGUACAAAUGAUGGGCUUUGAAGAUGUUAGUGUAUAACAAUUGAUGUUUGUUUUCUGUUUGAUUUUUAAACACAGAAAAUAAAAGGGGCAAUAGGUCCUUUUUUCUUUUCUUUUCUUUUUUUUUUCAUUUCAAAUUUGCUGCCAGUGUUUUCAAUGAUGGGCAACAGAGGGAUAUGCUGUAGAGUGUUUUAUUACCUAGUUGACAAAGCUGCUUUUGAAUGCUGGUGGUUCUAUUCCUUUGACACUACGUACUUUUAUAAUACGUGUUAAUGCUAUAUGACAAAAUGCUCUGAUUCCUAGUGC